rnacentral:rRNA from 1 species
AGAGUUUGAUCCUGGCUCAGGACGAACGCUGGCGGCACGCUUAACACAUGCAAGUCGAACGAGAGAAGAGGAGCUUGCUUUUCUGAUCUAGUGGCGGACGGGUGAGUAACACGUGAGCAAUCUGCCUUUCAGAGGGGGAUACCGAUUGGAAACGAUCGUUAAUACCGCAUAACAUAAUUGAACCGCAUGAUUUGAUUAUCAAAGAUUUAUCGCUGAAAGAUGAGCUCGCGUCUGAUUAGCUAGUUGGUAAGGUAACGGCUUACCAAGGCGACGAUCAGUAGCCGGACUGAGAGGUUGAUCGGCCACAUUGGGACUGAGACACGGCCCAGACCCCUACGGGAGGCAGCAGUGGGGAAUAUUGCACAAUGGAGGAAACUCUGAUGCAGCGAUGCCGCGUGAGGGAAGAAGGUUUUAGGAUUGUAAACCUCUGUCUUCAGGGACGAAAAAAGACGGUACCUGAGGAGGAAGCUCCGGCUAACUACGUGCCAGCAGCCGCGGUAAUACGUAGGGAGCGAGCGUUGUCCGGAAUUACUGGGUGUAAAGGGAGCGUAGGCGGGAUCGCAAGUCAGAUGUGAAAACUAUGGGCUUAACCCAUAAACUGCAUUUGAAACUGUGGUUCUUGAGUGAAGUAGAGGUAAGCGGAAUUCCUAGUGUAGCGGUGAAAUGCGUAGAUAUUAGGAGGAACAUCAGUGGCGAAGGCGGCUUACUGGGCUUUAACUGACGCUGAGGCUCGAAAGCGUGGGGAGCAAACAGGAUUAGAUACCCUGGUAGUCCACGCCGUAAACGAUGAUUACUAGGUGUGGGGGGACUGACCCCUUCCGUGCCGCAGCAAACGCAAUAAGUAAUCCACCUGGGGAGUACGACCGCAAGGUUGAAACUCAAAGGAAUUGACGGGGGCCCGCACAAGCAGUGGAGUAUGUGGAUUGAUUCGAAGCAACGCGAAGAACCUUACCAGGUCUUGACAUCGUAUGCAUAGCUCAGAGAUGAGUGAAAUCUCUUCGGAGACAUAUAGACAGGUGGUGCAUGGUUGUCGUCAGCUCGUGUCGUGAGAUGUUGGGUUAAGUCCCGCAACGAGCGCAACCCUUACUGUUAGUUGCUACGCAAGAGCACUCUAGCAGGACUGCCGUUGACAAAACGGAGGAAGGUGGGGAUGACGUCAAAUCAUCAUGCCCCUUAUGACCUGGGCCUCACACGUACUACAAUGGCUGUCAACAGAGGGAAGCAAAGCCGCGAGGUGGAGCGAACCCCUAAAAGCAGUCUUAGUUCGGAUUGUAGGCUGCAACCCGCCUACAUGAAGUCGGAAUUGCUAGUAAUCGCAGAUCAGCAUGCUGCGGUGAAUACGUUCCCGGGCCUUGUACACACCGCCCGUCACGCCAUGGGAGUCGGUAACACCCGGAGCCUGUAGUCUAACCGCAAGGAGGACGCAGUCGAAGGUGGGAUUGAUGACUGGGGUGAAGUCGUAACAAGGUA